rnacentral:rRNA from 1 species
UUCAGGGAAAAACUGUGUUAAACGUAAAAAUUAAAUUUAUUUUAAUUUGUGAAGAAACAAUUAUUUAAAUUAAGGACAAGAAGACCCUAAGAAUUUUAAAGAUAAUAAUUUUAAUAUUAAAAUUAUUAUCUUUUGGUUGGGGCAACUAAAAAAGAUUAUAAACUUUUUAUUUAAUAAAAUGACCCAUUAUUAAUGAUAAUUUGAUAAAAAUACUCUAGGGAUAACAGCGUAAUAAUUUUUGAUAGAACAUAUAGACAAAAUAGUUUGCGACCUCGAUGUUGGAUUAGGAUACUUUUUUAAUGAAGAUGUUAAAAAAAGAAGUUUGUUCAACUUUUAAAGUCCU